ensembl:lncRNA
CAGCCAAGGAUGGGAGGGGAAGGGUAGGGGCGGGUGGGAGGAGAAGGGUGCAGAAGCCUGUGGAGCAGCUUUUCCUGCUUGGGUGGAGGGAUCUGGCCCGGGACCUAAGAGGCUGCUGCUCAUUCCAAGUUCCCUGUAGGCAUUUUUGCACUGAAUGAUAUCGGAGCAGACACGGGGUUUCGAAAACUAAAUCUGUUGUGGGGUUCACCAUCAGUAUGUCCAGGCAGAGGCAAUGGUCUCAGAGCAGAAGUGACUAGAGAGGAAGAAACCACUCAGGACCAGUCAGUGUCUUGAGGUCUUGGGGACAGACAGUGGGAUUUGGAUGCUAGUAACUCUAACCAGCAGCAGCUGCAGCUGCUACUGGUUCCUCAUUGACACAUCUGCCCUUCCUUUUCAUCCCCAGUGAAUCUGGCCAAGAACUAACUGCAAGCCAGGAUCGCAGCCGCUAGCAGCACUGCAGUCUGGAGCCGGGGGCUAGAAAUGCUCACUCCUUUGGGAAUGAGAGGAGCACAAGUGCCAAGGUUGGCAAUGCAGACAUCAAGACAGAAGAACAUGCUUUGCCCUUUAAAAGCUUCUUGUUCCCUGGAGAGACCAGUGAUGUGUCUGAGCAUGGAGAAGACACAGCGGGGCUGAGUCACUAAUGCUGGAUACACCCAAAGUCAAGAAAAAAAAUAGUUACAUUUGGUCUGAGGACAACUAUGUCCUGAAUAAGGUGGUAAGAAGUCUGGACUCAUGAGACACACUUGCAUGUCUCAUUUGAAGGAGCAGUUUCUCCAGUUUGUACCCACAGUAUAGGUCAGUGCUGACCUGUCUCCAGCUCCUGGACUGACGCAAUCUUCAGAAACAGAAGCUGGAGGCCAGAGGAGGAACCAAAUGGGAGAGGCCACAUGCUCCAACGAUGCAAAUGGUAUUACUGAGAAAGAAUGUUCAUGAUGGUUACCAGCCACUGAGUGCAAAAUUGUGUGAUCUCAUCUCACUCCUAGAACAACCCAUGGGGUAGGUACAUUUUUGGCGAUACAGACACCAAAGCAUUGGUGUCAAAGUGACUUACUCAUCUCAGUGGCAGCUCUAGAAUCAGUUCACACCUUAAUGACAAAGUGCCCCGUUUUUGGUUUCCGGUUGCCUGCCUCUCAGAUAAGCAUAGCACUCUGUUGUGUGGGAUGGAUAUGGCAUUCUCCUUAAUGGCACUGUUCAUGGCACUGAGGUCUUCAGAAUACACUCUUGAUGGCCACCAGCAAACAGGUUUCAUGCUGGCAGGAUGCUAUCAAAGGCUGGACAGACUAUAGCCAGAGAACUUGUAGGUCCCUGCACUCUGGGUGAAUGACCCCAGGGGCUACUGUAGAAAGACUAAGAAUUUUGAAGAGAGAUUCCUGUGAUACCGAAUCUGCAGAGAAUGGGAAUGGCCAAGUGCCCAGAGUUGACUUUGGAACUGCUGACGUGAGUUUCCAUCUCAAAGCAUCCCAGUCCUUGGUCAAAAAUUUCCUGUUUUCUGAGUUUAUUUUACUCUGGAUUUUAGAGGUGUUAGCAAUUCUAUUUAGUAGAGAUUGAUGCAUUAUUGUUAAAGUUUUAUCAUAAAUUGGCACUUUCCCCUUGAAAGAUGUUCAUGAACUGUGACCUGAAG